AGUAAACAGCCUCAUAGAUUUACUACCCGAAAGUGGAUUUGUCAUGUUUGGUUAUCCUGUAAUUUCCAGCCCAGCUGGCACAAGUCAUUAUUCAUUAUUGCACUGCAGUCUGUUUUUUGUGAUGAGUAUCCUUUCCCUCUGGGUGAGGAGAGAUGGACAGAUCAGGAGGGUCUGCCCUGUGUGACAUCUUUCAACACUUCUGACUUAACAGAACCUUUGGAGAAAAAUGCACAGAGACCCCCUAGUUAUGGAAAUUUCACUGGCUGACUGUUCAAAGCAAGAACAGUGGUAGAACUGUAAACAUGUGCAUGUCACAGCUGCUGGAAUACCCAGAAACACGGAGCAGCUGAAGGUUUCCAUGCAGGUGGUACAUAGCAGCACUUUGAAGUUUUAUUCUUUGCAAUAUGGGCACUAGUGAAAUAAUAUGAUGUCUUUUUAUAUAACGAUUAUAAUAUGGAUGUCAAGCGCGUCCCCCUCCAGCAGCUGUCGGUUCUUAUCCGUAACAGCUAAAUGGUCUAGUGUGCCAAAAUCCUGUUUUAGAAAGUGACGGAUUUACCUUUUUGGUGCUCUGGAUGAACGUACUCUCUCUACACUCAGGCAUCUAUAAGACUUUUACUGUGAUAUUUAAUGGAUAUAAUUUGAUCCUUUGUAAUCUUUUCUCUUUUUUUUAUAUUAGACAAAAGGAAAUAAUAUUCAUUCUUGUGCAAAGCUCUAUAACCAUGUUUUUCAAACGAUCAUGUGAAGCAUUUCCUCUGCAAAAUUAUAAUGCUAAUUCCGGCUAUUUUUAUUAUCAGUACAUGUCCCUUGCUUAAUCCUUAUCUUCCUCUGGAUUAUUGCAUGCCUGGAGUUGCAACACUUGUAGAUAUGAACAUUUCUUAAUUUCAAAGUAUCCCUUUAAGUGAGAGGUGCAAGAAAAAUAGCUUGGAGAAUGGACCAAUGGUCUAAGGAUAUCUGGUGGGCCCACUGAUUUCGUCAUUUGACCCUGGGGAGCACCUGUGGCCAGUAAAACUGUGAGCCAGAUCACCAUUCAAGCAGGAGAAGGGAAACCAUUCUGUUUGUAUGUGAAUCGAUAAAAAUAAGACAAAUCAACCAUGGUUACCCCUAGCUCAAGUAAAGCACACGCUAUGCAAUUGUUUUUCCAGUUUCUUAAAGGAAAAGCAGAGAGUUACCAGUCAGGAUUAUCAUGUAUAUCUUGUUGUCAGAGGAAAGUAGAUCCUCCUGCACUGUGAUAUUUAAUUAAUUGCCUUAUACAAAACAGGGAACCUUGCAAAAUGCCUUCAUUUUCCUUUGCACUGUUACUGUCCCAAUUAAUAGCACAAAAACAUUGUUAAAACGUUGAUGUUGGAUUGAAUGAGUCAGAAGUUGACUGGAAAGUUCUGCUCUUCGCAUUGUGGAACUUUGCUUUUCUUUGUCAUUAUUUUUUGUCUAGACUGAAGAUAUUUUGGUUAAUAGACGACAUUAUGAAUGUAUGGAAAAAAAAACUCUGUCUGAAUUCCCUCUAUUGUGUGACACAGAGACGUUUCUCAAUAGUAGCAAGCGAGGAGUUUUAUACUAAGAGUAAUGGAAUGUAAUCUGCAUGCAGGAUUGUCUUGGGGGACAAGCUAGUGGAAAAUAUAAUAAACAUUAUAUAUUUUAUUGGCAUGUUAUACGCUAUUCAUUGAUAUACAGUAUAAUGUAUUUAAGGUUAUGACAGCCAAGUCUAACAAGCAGCAGUAAUGCAUGUCAUGUGUUAGCAAAAAUUUAAUUAUAGGAAACAAAAUCUAAACUUGUUUCAGUGACAUACUUUAAGUCUGAGAGUGAAAACAAGAUCCGUUUUUUCUUGAUCUAUAAUUGAAGUACAAGAGCAAUUACCAUAGUGUGCGGAAUUAGGCAGCAGAAAGCACCGUCUCACUACAGGAGAAAAUAAUCAUUUUACUUAAUGGUAUAUUUUAUGUUCAUGGGAAAGAAAGAUGUAGGGGCCGUGUUUAUUAUGGUGUGUAAUAUGCAGUAAUUUCACCAAAAUAGGUGUAAAAAAGAGUUGUAAAAUAAAUGAUGUUCUU